GGGGAUGUAGCUCAAGAUUAGAGCACUUGUUCAGCAUACAUGAGGACCUGGGUUCAAUCCCCAGCACUGCUC
rnacentral:tRNA from 1 species